rnacentral:pre_miRNA from 19 species
UUUAAUUAGUACAGCCUGUAUUAGUAAUGUCAUCUAUUCUUUACAGGCUAUGCUAAUCUAUGC